rnacentral:lncRNA from 1 species
UCCGGUCGAAGGACAACAAGAGGAUGAGGAAGAUGAAGAAGGCUCCUUGCUCUGAUAGGACACACCGUGAAUAGAAGAUAACGACGACGGAUCAUGAUGAUCCACAGCUAAAAGAGAUGUAAUUGUCGUCCCAAACAAUUUUAUCUCCGUAUCUUUAGAUUUCGACAUACUAAUUUUCCAACUUAACAAUUAAACCAAUUCCUCUAAAAAUUAUUGUUUACUCGUUUUUUUAUUAGAUCAGAGAAAAAGGAGAGAAUACAAGGGGCUGAGCUUGGUUGGUAUGAAUGACGAUAGUGCAUAGAAGAGAGAGAGAGAGAGGGGGAGAGUCAGAGAGAGACUUGUUAAGUUUUAAGAGCCAC